UUUCAGACUAUGAGAAGUGUUGUGCAAUGAUUUGCCUUCUCAUUGCAUUCCCAGCUAUUGCCCUUGCAUCCCGUCCUCCACCACCAGCUGGUGCAGGAACAAACACAGGUCCAUCUUUGUCAUCAGGGUUGACUACUACUUCAUCCAGGAGUGGAAGAUUCCUCUUUCUGCAGAAAUUAUGAAGCAACAUAGUUGCUGCAGCAAUCUUUCCACACUUCAAGGGACUAUAACAAAGUGUGCCACCUUUAUGAUGAACACACUUUAAGCGUGACUUCCAAAUGCCAAUUGCCUGCUCAACCACGACACGUGUUUUCUUCAGGCUGAUGUUGAAUCUUUGUUCGCCAGCAUUAGCUGGCAUUCCAAUUGGUGUCAUCAGGUGGUGGACCUCCUGCCAACCCUCCUCUCUCCCAGCUCGAUGAGUUAAUCUUUGAGAUUUUGGACCCCAAGAAUGUCUCUAUUCAUGGGUGUACCAAUAAGGCAAGCAUCAUUGAAUGCACCUUCCUUAACAAAGGAUAAGCCACUUGUAGAUAUAGCAAUAUUAGGCCAUAAUGUUGUCUCAAAUGUCUGCAAUCCAAAAUACUCAUGUUCCUAGUUAGUUUACAACUUAGUUAUACACAAUAUUAAAUUUGUUAUCUAGUGUUGAGAAUUUUUUUUUUUUUUUUUUUUAUUCCUUAACCAAACAGAUAAAACAGCAAUAAGAAAAGAAAAAAAACUAAUAAAGUUAACUUAAUUCCUAUCCCUUCUCCCCAUUCAUAAGUAUGGUGUUGUAGUGGGUGAAUGUGUUAAUGAUAACGAGUCUUAGGUAUUUACAGUUUCUUAGACAUGGGCUUCCUUCAAACAGAAUAGGAUUUAAGUCAAACACAUUGUACCCUUAGCUAGAUUUACUGGUUUCUGUUACUUUUGUCCUUAGCAAUAAAACCAAAAACAUUA